rnacentral:rRNA from 1 species
AUUGAACGCUGGCGGCAGGCUUAACACAUGCAAGUCGAGCGGAGAGAGGUAGCUUGCUACUGAUCUUAGCGGCGGACGGGUGAGUAAUGCUUAGGAAUCUGCCUAUUAGUGGGGGACAACAUUUCGAAAGGAAUGCUAAUACCGCAUACGUCCUACGGGAGAAAGCAGGGGAUCUUCGGACCUUGCGCUAAUAGAUGAGCCUAAGUCGGAUUAGCUAGUUGGUGGGGUAAAGGCCUACCAAGGCGACGAUCUGUAGCGGGUCUGAGAGGAUGAUCCGCCACACUGGGCCUGAGACACGGCCCAGACUCCUACGGGAGGCAGCAGUGGGGAAUAUUGGACAAUGGGCGCAAGCCUGAUUCAGCCAUGCCGCGUGUGUGAAGAAGGCCUUAUGGUUGUAAAGCACUUUAAGCGAGGAGGAGGCUACUUUAGUUAAUACCUAGAGAUAGUGGACGUUACUCGCAGAAUAAGCACCGGCUAACUCUGUGCCAGCCGCCGCAGUAAUAC